rnacentral:tRNA from 1 species
GUCUCUGUGGCGCAAUUGGUUAGCGCGUUCGGCUGUUAACCGGAAGGUUUGUGGUUCAAGCCCACCCAGGGACG